rnacentral:lncRNA from 1 species
CCACCCUCAUGCCACACCCUGGAAGAAGCUGGUGUGUCCAAAUUCAGGGGAAGGAUGCUCCGAAGGAUCCUACCUACCUACCUACGUGACAUAGGUAGGAUCCUUUGACAGCCGGGUAGGCAGGAAGUGAGCGGCUGUGGACAGCCUUUUUUUUUUUUUUCGUAGAAACUUCAUUGAACAAACAAUGAGUAUACCACAUAUAAACAGAUGGGCUUUGGACAGCCUUCUAGCCUUCAUUCAAGUCCGCCCUUACUUUCAUGUUUUUCCGGUUGCUAGCGCCACAACGCGACAACUUUAAAAUGGACCCAGAAAUGUUGCUACGUUUUUUUGUACAUUUUUCAUUCGUGAGGAGCUAGAAAAACUUUAUCGUCAUCACCGGCAUGUUUUGUACCUUAGGCUCAUCAGAGACAAUCAUAUUCAGCACUUUAUCAAACUGUUGUCUGCUACAGAGUUACAAGUAUUAUACUAGUAGUAAUGUAGCAUCCACCAUCUCCUGCUUGCGUAUUUCUGAAAACAUCUUAGUGGUGUGGCAGCCGUCGAGUGAGCCAGCCCUGCAAACCCUGUGGAUGGAUGAUGCAGUGGACAGUGGGAGGAAGCAUCCUAAAUCUCUCUUUGGAGACCACCCUGUGUGAUUCUCCACUCGCCGACCAGAAAAGACAAACUGCAGGUCUCAGUUGCAGCACCCCAUUCAUGUCUGAUCUUGCUUCGGCAGAUUCAGCAACACUGCCAGAGACUUCCUGUAAUCUAUUACAGUUGUUAAAGAAACGGUCCAGGAACAGGUCACUCAGGUUAAUCCUGUGUGAACAACUUUAAAUACUGUUUUUUCUUCUUUAAAUAUUGUUGGUGUAUUAGAAAUACUCUUGUUUAAUUGUUAUUGUUUUUUACUUUAUUGCCAUCAAAUAAAUAUCCAUGUAAAAUUGUUCAAAGUUAGCAUUAUGUUCAUACAUGUUAAAAAUACCUGUAAAUUAAAUUGAGUUCAGUGACAAUUACUAUUUAUUUUAAUUAAUUUAUUAAUAACAUAAAACUUUUCUGAUUCAGUAAAAGAACUAGAUCUUACAAUCCCUGAGAUGCAUUGCUUUAAAUGGGGAAAAUCUUGAGGGAUGG